rnacentral:lncRNA from 1 species
UGAAAAUAUUCUGCAACUUUUUAUCUGAGUUGAUGUAGAUUAAUACUGUUGUUGAGCAGCAUGUUAUUUGUCCAAGCUAUGGAAGUGUAUAGGUAGUAAUCUCAAGGGAAAUCAUGUAUUGUUUUAUUUAUGGUUUUUGCAUGGCAUUAAGCUUUUGCAUUUCAGAUUAGAAACAGUGAAUUUUCUUUGACUGUGAUCUUGACAACUUCUUAAAAUUUUUAUGAAAAUCAUGUUAUCCUAUACCUGAAUUUUGUUGUUUGAGGUAAUUUUUGUAGAAUGCUGACUGUAAAGGAUGAGUCUUUUACAGAAUGGCCCAAUCCUUCCAUGACUUGUGAAAAUUGUAAUAACCCUUUCUUUCUGUCUUUUUCAUCUCAAGAAUGGAAGACAAAAGGAAUCUAA